AUUGAACGCUGGCGGCGUGCUUAACACAUGCAAGUCGAUCGGUAACGCGGGGGCAACCCUGGCGACGAGAGGCGGACGGGUGAGGAACGCUUGGGAAUCUGCCUAUCAGCGGGGGACAACCCGGGGAAACUCGGGCUAAUACCGCAUACGCUCUACGGAGGAAAGACGGGGACCGCAAGGCCUUGCACUGAUAGAUGAGCCCAAGCCGUCUUAGCUAGGUGGCGGGGUAACGGCCCACCAAGGCGACGAUCCGUAGCUGGUCUGAGAGGACGAUCAGCCACACCGGAACUGAGACACGGUCCAGACUCCUACGGGAGGCAGCAGUGGGGAAUAUUGGACAAUGGGCGCAAGCCUGAUCCAGCCAUACCGCGUGGGUGAAGAAGGCCUUCGGGUUGUAAAGCCCUUUUGUUGGGAAAGAAAUCCAGCUGGCUAAUACCCGGUUGGGAUGACGGUACCCAAAGAAUAAGCACCGGCUAACUUCGUGCCAGCCGCCGCAGUAACAC
rnacentral:rRNA from 1 species